UACGAAGGGUGCAAACGUUGCUCGGAAUUAUUGGGCGUAAAGAGCUCGUAGGCGGUUUGUCGCGUCUGCUGUGAAAACUCGGGGCUUAACCCCGGGCCUGCAGUGGGUACGGGCAGACUAGAGUGCGGUAGGGGAGACUGGAAUUCCUGGUGUAGCGGUGAAAUGCGCAGAUAUCAGGAGGAACACCGGUGGCGAAGGCGGGUCUCUGGGCCGUAACUGACGCUGAGGAGCGAAAGCGUGGGGAGCGAACAGG
rnacentral:rRNA from 1 species